UAGAAGAUGAUGAAUCAAAUAUUGCGGAUUGUUAUUGUAUUCUCUCACCUUUUA
rnacentral:sRNA from 1 species